GACGGAGGAUGCAAGCGUUAUCCGGAAUGAUUGGGCGUAAAGGGUGCGUAGGCGGCCGAUUAAGUCAGAUGUGAAAUACCACGGCUCAACUGUGGGGGUGCAUUUGAAACUGGUUGGCUUGAGUGCAGGAGAGGAAAGUGGAAUUCCUAGUGUAGCGGUGAAAUGCGUAGAUAUUAGGAGGAACACCAGUGGCGAAGGCGACUUUCUGGACUGUAACUGACGCUGAGGCACGAAAGCGUGGGGAGCAAACAGG
rnacentral:rRNA from 1 species